GGCAUGGUGGCUUAGUGGUUAGCACUGAUGCCUUGCACCUCCAGGACUGGGGGUUCAAAUCCCUCCUCCGCCC